rnacentral:lncRNA from 1 species
GCAGACUUGACCAGCUCGCCCUAAGGACAAGUCGCUUACCUGGACCUUGGGGCAGAGCCUCGGACUCUGAAAGCCUUUCAACAAAGCACUGGCUGUCCUCUCAGCCCGUCACCUGUGGGCAUGAAGAUGUCAGCUCCCUGGCCAACCACUCAGGUGCCAUUCACACAAAUGUGUGCGUGGGGGAUGGAAGGCAGCGCACAGAAGCCUGCUCUGGCUUGCCCGGCUCAGCACAUUGAAAUCUAGAAAGGAAGAGGGGAUGAGCAAAGAGGAGGAGCACGGUGCCUACCAGGAGCCGCACACCUUGCUACACGCUCUCUAUGUGGGCGAUUGUUUGCGCUCACAGUGAAUCUGGGAAAUAGAUUCCGCAUGCCCCCUUUCCAGAUGAGGAAACUGAGGCUUGGAGAGAUUCCAGAAUUUGCAGCUCCAAGGUCAUGCAGCUCCAAGUAGCAGAUGAGGUUUCUUGACCUGAGGCCAGUGCUCCCUCUGUGACUUUACAGCUCCUGGGAGAAUGAGCUGGGCAGCCCUGGCCGGGGCUAUGGUAGCU